rnacentral:rRNA from 1 species
CGUAGGGUGCGAGCGUUAAUCGGAAUUACUGGGCGUAAAGGGUGCGCAGGCGGUUAUGAAAGACAGGCGUGAAAUCCCCGGGCUUAACCUGGGAACUGCGUUUGUGACUACAUGACUCGAGUACGGCAGAGGGGGGUGGAAUUCCACGUGUAGCAGUGAAAUGCGUAGAGAUGUGGAGGAACACCGAUGGCGAAGGCAGCCCCCUGGGCCAGUACUGACGCUCAUGCACGAAAGCGUGGGGAGCAAACAGGAUUAGAUACCCUGGUAGUCCACGCCCUAAACGAUGUCAACUAGUUGUUGGUAGGGUAAAACCUAUUAGUAACGUAGCUAACGCGUGAAGUUGACCGCCUGGGGAGUACGGCCGCAAGGUUA